UAGGGAAUCUUCGGCAAUGGGGGCAACCCUGACCGAGCAACGCCGCGUGAGUGAAGAAGGUUUUCGGAUCGUAAAGCUCUGUUGUAAGAGAAGAACGUGUGUGAGAGUGGAAAGUUCACACAGUGACGGUAACUUACCAGAAAGGGACGGCUAACUACGUGCCAGCAGCCGCGGUAAUACGUAGGUCCCGAGCGUUGUCCGGAUUUAUUGGGCGUAAAGCGGGCGCAGGCGGUUUAAUAAGUCUGAAGUUAAAGGCAGUGGCUUAACCAUUGGUCGCUUUGGAAACUGUUAAACUUGAGUGCAGAAGGGGAGAGUGGAAUUCCAUGUGUAGCGGUGAAAUGCGUAGAUAUAUGGAGGAACACCGGUGGCGAAAGCGGCUCUCUGGUCUGUAACUGACGCUGAGGCUCGAAAGCGUGGGGAGCAAACAGG
rnacentral:rRNA from 1 species